UACGGGGGGAGCAAGCGUUGUUCGGAUUUACUGGGCGUAAAGGGCGCGUAGGCGGCCACCGCAAGUCGACUGUGAAAUCUCCGGGCUUAACCCGGAAAGGUCAGCCGAUACUGCAGGGCUAGAGUGCAGAAGGGGCAACUGGAAUUCUCGGUGUAGCGGUGGAAUGCGUAGAUAUCGAGAGGAACACCUGCGGCGAAGGCGGGUUGCUGGGCUGACACUGACGCUGAGGCGCGAAAGCUAGGGGAGCGAACGGG
rnacentral:rRNA from 1 species